CAGUAGCCGCGGGAAUACGUAGGGUGCAAGCGUUAAUCGGAAUUACUGGGCGUAAAGCGCACGUAGGCGGCUUGGUAAGUUAGAGGUGAAAGCCUGGAGCUCAACUCCAGAAUUGCCUUUAAGACUGCCGAGCUAGCAGGUGAGAGAGGUAAGUGGAAUUCCGAGUGUAGAGGUGAAAUUCGUAGAUAUUCGGAAGAACACCAGUGGCGAAGGCGGCUUACUGGCUCAUACUGGACGCUGAGGUGCGAAAGCGUGGGGAGCAAACAGGAUUAGAUACCCCUGUAGUCCCUGUCUCUUAUAC
rnacentral:rRNA from 1 species